rnacentral:rRNA from 1 species
AGCGAACGCUGGCGGCAGGCUUAACACAUGCAAGUCGAGCGCCCCGCAAGGGGAGCGGCAGACGGGUGAGUAACACGUGGGAACGUACCUUUUGCUACGGAAUAGCUCCGGGAAACCGGAGCUAAUACCGGAUAACACCGAGGACCGCAUGGUCCUUGGUUGAAAGGCGGCUUUGGCUGUCACUUACGGAUGGGCCCGCGGCGCAUUAGCUAGUUGGUGAGGUAACGGCUCACCAAGGCGACGAUCGGUAGCUGGUCUGAGAGGAUGAUCAGCCACACUGGGACUGAGACACGGCCCAGACUCCUACGGGAGGCAGCAGUGGGGAAUAUUGGACAAUGGGGGGAACCCUGAUCCAGCAAUGCCGCGUGUGUGAAGAAGGCCUGAGGGUUGUAAAGCACUUUCAGUGGGGAGGAGGUCUGUUAGGUUAAGAGCUAGAUAGAUGGACGUUACCCACAGAAGAAGCACCGGCUAACUCCGUGCCAGCAGCCGCCGUAAUAC